UACGACUCACUAUACUUGGUCAUUUAGAGGAAGUAAAAGUCGUAACAAGGUUUCCGUAGGUGAACCUGCGGAAGGAUCAUUACCGAGAGACGGGGUCGCUUCGGCCCCACUCUUCACCCGUGUCUACUUACCUUUGUUGCUUUGGCGGGCCUUCGGGCUUGACCGUUCGACGCGGGUGGGAGGCUUUCGCCUCUCGCCUCGCGAGCGCCCGCCAAAGGCCCUGUUAACUCUGUUUUAGUGUCUUCCGAGCAACCAUGUAAUAGUUAAAACUUUCAACAACGGAUCUCUUGGUUCUGGCAUCGAUGAAGAACGCAGCGAAAUGCGAUAAGUAAUGUGAAUUGCAGAAUUCAGUGAAUCAUCGAAUCUUUGAACGCACAUUGCGCCCUCUGGUAUUCCGGGGGGCAUGCCUGCUCGAGCGUCAUUAUAACCCUCAAGCUCUGCUUGGUACUGGGUAUCGCCUCCUCGGCGUUCCCGAAAUACAGUGGCGGUCCAGCGAGACUCCGAGCGUAGUAAGAUUUCAGUAUCCCGCUAUGGACGUUUUCCGGUGGGCCUGCCAGCGAACCCUCGAAGUGCAAACUUCCACGAUUGACCUCGGAUCAGGUAGGGAUACCCGCUGAACUUAAGCAUAUCAAUAA
rnacentral:rRNA from 1 species